rnacentral:rRNA from 1 species
CUGGCGGCGUGCCUAACACAUGCAAGUCGAACGAGAAAGUGGAGCAAUCCAUGAGUACAGUGGCGUACGGGUGAGUAACACGUGACUAACCUACCCUCGAGUGGGGAAUAACUUCGGGAAACCGAGGCUAAUACCGCAUAACAUCUACGGAUCAAAUGCGCAAGCAGCUUGAGGAGGGGGUCGCGGCUGAUUAGCUAGUUGGCGGGGUAACGGCCCACCAAGGCAAUGAUCAGUAGCCGGCCUGAGAGGGCGCACGGCCACACUGGAACUGAAACACGGUCCAGACUCCUACGGGAGGCAGCAGUGGGGAAUUUUGCGCAAUGGGGGAAACCCUGACGCAGCAACGCCGCGUGGAGGAUGGAGCCCCUUGGGGUGUAAACUCCUUUCGAUCGGGACGAUUAUGACGGUACCGGAUGAAGAAGCACCGGCUAACUCUGUGCCAGCAGCCGCGGUAAUACAGAGGGUGCAAGCGUUGUUCGGAAUUAUUGGGCGUAAAGGGUGCGUAGGCGGUGCGGUAAGUCUUCUGUGAAACCUCCGGGCUUAACUCGGAGCCUGCAAGGGAAACUGCCGUGC